UACGUAGGGGGCAAGCGUUGUCCGGAUUUAUUGGGCGUAAAGAGCGUGUAGGCGGCCAGGUAGGUCUGCUGUGAAAACUCGAGGCUUAACCUCGAAGCUGUCGGCGGAAACCUCUGGCUAGAGUCCGGAAGAGGAGAAUGGAAUUCCCGGUGUAGCGGUGAAAUGCGCAGAUAUCGGGAAGAACACCCGUGGCGAAAGGCGGUUCUCUGGGACGGUACUGACGCUGAGACGCGAAAAGCGUGGGGGAGCAACGG
rnacentral:rRNA from 1 species